UCGUGGAGCUCCGGCUCCUUCGAGGGAGAACCCUUGCCUUUUCGAGCACCUGUUUGUUUCCUCGGCAGGCCCGCCUGCCAAUGGGGACCCCUUUAAACUCUUGCAAUAACCUGUAUGAGAUCGUCUGAACAAGACAAACAAGUCA
rnacentral:misc_RNA from 1 species